CAGUAGCCGCGGGAAAACGAAGGGGGCUAGCGUUGCUCGGAAUGACUGGGCGUAAAGGGCGCGUAGGCGGAUGGCUUUGUCAGAUGUGAAAUUCCAGGGCUUAACCUUGGGGCUGCAUUUGAGACGGGUUGUCUAGAGUGGAGAAGAGGGUCGUGGAAUUCCCGGAGUAGCGGUGAAAUGCGCAGAUACCGGGAGGAACGCCGAUGGCGAAGGCAGCCACCUGGUCCACUUCUGACGCUGAGGCGCGAAAGCGUGGGGAGCAAACCGGAUUAGAUACCCCUGUAGUCCCUGUCUCUUAUAC
rnacentral:rRNA from 1 species